UACGUAGGGGGGCAAGCGUUGUCCGGAUUUAUUGGGCGUAAAGAGCGUGUAGGCGGUUCGGUAGGUCCGUUGUGAAAACUCGAGCUCAACCUCGAGACGCCGAUGGAAACCCCCGAACUAGAGUCCGGAAGAGGAGAGUGGAAUUCCCGGUGUAGCGGUGAAAUGCGCAGAUAUCGGGGAAGAACACCCGUGGCUAAGGCGGCUCUCUAGUACGGUACUGACGCUGAGACGCGAAAGCGUGGGGAGCGAACAGG
rnacentral:rRNA from 1 species